CGGUAGUUAGCGCAGGCAGGUAGCGCGUUUGGUUCGGGACCAAGAGGUCGCGGGUUCGAAUCCCGCACUACCGACCA
rnacentral:tRNA from 1 species